GCGGUGUUUAUCAGGAAGUGCUCUCAGACUCCACGCCCGUGGGAGUAGUGAGAGGCAUAGGAUGGGACAGAAGGAGAUGCUAAACAGUGAUGCAGAAGCAGCGAAGACCUCCGCAAUCCUGCAGGGAAGCUUGGGAGCUGGUACGGCCCUGCAGAGAUGCACUGAGGGAAGCCAAGCUGCCAUGUUGUAAGCUGCCCUAUGAAGGGACCCACAUGGCAAAGAAUGGAGAAUGACCCCAGCCAGCCAAGAACUCUCAGCCUACCGGCCCAUGAGGAACUGAAUCCUGCCAACAGCGAUGUGAGUGAACUUGGAAGUGGAUCCUUCUCCAGUGGCACCAUCAGGUGAGACUAUAGCCCCAGCCAACAUGGGAGUUGUUUCAGAAGAAAGGAAGUAUUAAGCCAGAUGCUUUACAGACUUUAUCUUGGACCUCAAAUUCAUUCUGUGAGAUACAUGUUGGUAUCUCCAUUGUGUAGAUAAGAAAACCAAGACUCAAAAAGGUGAAAACUUACUAAAUGUCAUAUGAUGAAUGAAUAGAAGAGAGGGGAUUUGAACUCAGGACUGAUAACACAAAAGCCCACACUCUGGUUAUUGCAGAAAUAUACUGUGUUUUUAUUUCCACGUUUCCAUCAGAACUUAAAAAUAAAAAUGGACAGUUGCUCAAUUAUCCCACUAACAAACAUAUGGCAGCAGCAAGAACUGGGACCACAGCACCAUGCUAACCAAGGCCAGGCCUUCCCUGAGUUGGUAUACACUCCCGUACAGCAGCAUCAGAAGCUGCUCAGAGCCUGCAACAUCCUCUUGAGGCAGAAUCCUCCAUGUGCAAAGUGAUCUAAUGGUCAGUUUUUAAAAGAAAAUAGCUGAAUCUGAUGCCAGUAUGGGCUAAGUACUACUUCUAAGAACCUUACAUGUCUUAACUCACUUAAACAAUCCUACAAGAAAGGCACUAUUAUAGUCAUCCAAUUUACGGAUGAGGAGACCAAGGCACAGAGAAUUUAGAUAAUUUUCUCCCAGACAUUCAGCUAUAAGGAGCAGAGCCAGGAUUUAAACUCUGACAAUUUGUCUCCACAGUCGCAUACAAGACCCCCAGAAUUCUCUCCUUGGUCCCAGGCUAUCAUGUUGCCUGGGUUCCCAAUACAGCACUGGGUGUAGCUGGCCUUGGUUCCAGGCCUUCACCUUCUGGAUUCAACCUGGCUACCAACACCCUUGAUUCUGACUUUCUCCAUUCACCUCCUCGUUCCCAGUUCCCAGCUAGCCCUUUCUGCCUUGACCCCAUCUGCCCUGGCUCUUAAGCUGUUCACACCUGCAUCCCAUCCCAUGCCUGCACCCCAGCCCUCACCUGCCUCCUGACCUGUCUUACAGCUCACCAUCCAGCCCGCCUGAGGCUCUGCCCACUGACAGGCUACUCCCAGGACAAUACUAGCUCCCCAGGACAAGCACUACACCCAGACGGCAUGUCAUUCAACAAGUCGGGGGCAGGCUUAAGGUGAAAAAUCAUCCCAAUUCUGGAGAUAUUAUCUGAAAAAAAAAGACUGUUUUCAGGAAACAAUCUUCCCAUCUGUGGUGAUUUUUAAAAUAUAGUUCCCAAAUUUUAUGUGGGAAAGGAAAGUAGCAAUAUAGAUGCAGGAAGAGCAUUACUGUGUGGAUAAAAAGAUGAUGUAUGCAAAUGAACAUGCUCAGCCUAGAACUUAAAUUAAAGUUACUGCCUGAUAUGGUAGGUACUGUGGUCUGAAUGUGUCCCCCAGAGUUCAUGUGUUGGAAACUUAAUCUCCAGUGCAACAAUGUUGAGCAAUGGAACCUUUAAGAAGUGACUGGGUCAGGAGAGUUCUGCCCUCAUGAAUGAAUUAAUGUCAUUAUUGCAAGAGUUAGUUAUUGCAGGAGUAGGUUCCUGAUUAAAAAGUGAGUCCACCCCCACUUCUCUCUCUUUUUCUGUCACGCACAUAUGCACUCUCUUGCCCUUCUACCUUCCACCAUGUGAUGACACAGCAAGAAGGCCCUCACCAGAUGCAGGCCUCUCAACCUUGGACUUUCCAGCCUCCAGAAUUGUAAGAAAUAAAUCUCUAUUCUUUAUAAAUUACCUAGUCUCUGGCAUUCUGUUACAGCAGCACAAAAUGAAUUAAGACAGUAGGAAAGAUCAUUGACACUGUUACAGACCUCUAAGGCAUGAUGAAAAAGCAAAUAUGCCCAUGUUUAUGCAAAUAGCAGAGUCAGUUAAAGAGGCCAUAACAUUGAUCAUAUGGGACUUCAAUAGCCCUGAAAUGGAUUAGAACAAGAAUUAUGGGAUGGUAAGGAGAGGCCACAGAGCUAGCAGUGAUCAGAAGCUCUUUUCCAGGAGACUUUGUUGAGCAAUCAAAAAGAUCAUGGGCUAUUGGGGGCAGCUAUCUGAAAAGUUGAAUGCAAUGAAGGAUGAAGGAUGGGGCUAAAA
rnacentral:lncRNA from 10 species